rnacentral:rRNA from 1 species
GCUUCCACUGAGAAGAGUAGUGGUCGGAACGGGUGAGGUAACAACGUGGGGUAACCUGCCCAUAAGAGGGGGGAUAACAUCCGGAAACGGGUGUUAAUACCGCAUAGUUUUUCUUGAUCGCAUGAUUGAGAAAGGAAAGACGGCCUUUGUGCUGUCGCUUAUGGAUGGACCCGCGGCGUAUUAGUUAGUUGGUGAGGUAACGGCUCACCAAGACGAUGAUACGUAGCCGACCUGAGAGGGUGAUCGGCCACAUUGGGACUGAGACACGGCCCAAACUCCUACGGGAGGCAGCAGUAGGGAAUCUUCCGCAAUGGACGAAAGUCUGACGGAGCAACGCCGCGUGAGUGAAGAAAAGGUUUUCGGAUCGUAAAACUCUGUUGUCAGAGAAGAACAAGUUGGAGAGUAACUGCUCCAGCCUUGACGGUAUCUGACCAGAAAGCCACGGCUAACUACGUGCCAGCCGCCGC